rnacentral:tRNA from 1 species
UCCGCCGUGGUGUAACUGGCAGCACAUCGGAUUUUGGUUCCGAUAGACCAGGUUCGAAUCCUGGCGGCGGAG